CUGGACGGCAAGAGGACGACAGAGGGCAGCAUUAAUGAAUGGAUUCCUAUGGGACUCGCAACGUUUAGUAACUCAUAACCUAACUUGGAUCACCGAUAAACUAAACACCGUAAACACCCAUUGUGCUGUUUGUUACAAAAACAGAUAGGGUUACAAACCAGGCGUGACUUUUCAUUGGAUCUCAAAAUAAAACGAGAAAGCUGAGGUGAAUCGCGGCAACCAACUGGAAAACCAUCAAACUAGCCUACUCGAGUAGCCUGGAUGAGCACCACGAUGAGAAGAGCGAUGAUCUGAUGUCAUGACACAUUGGAUGUAUGGAAGAGCCAGAGGUCCAGCACACCAAGCCAAGUUUAGCCGAUUUCAACCUAUCACACCAACUCAAUGUAGUAAUCAGUUCAUUCAAUGGCUCAAAGACUUUAUUUUUAGACACAAAGUACAAAUACAUUUCAAGGUUAUGUAGGUGAUGGGAGGGGAUAUCUAUUCUGGGGAUGUGUACAACAGACGUGCAAGUACUUAUUUAUAUUAAUAAAUGGUUAUCUGAACUAGG